CGUGCUCUCGCGGGGAUGCUUGUGCUCUCGCGGUAACGCGCAUGGUCUCGCGGGACAUGCGCUGGAGGGUAUGCGCGUACUCCCGCGGUCCUGGAGGCAGAGCUGUGGUGUCCUCGCGCGCAGGCUCUGGCGGAGGGCGUGGCGCCAGUCCCCUGGCGGCUGCCGGACCCUGGUUGUGGCCACAUCCCCCCAUCCUCCGAGUGUUUGCAUUCCUGCAUGAUGAACUCAGAGGGGAAAACAGAAGGAUGAAGUAAGCUGAGAGAGACUAUACCAACAAGUGGACAACGACAGUCUACCCAGUCAUUCAGCAAGUAUUGACUGCUAGCUACAGAGGAUAGUUUGCAGGGAGGGGGACAAAACUGAGAUCGGGGCACCACGACCUCGUGUGGCAGCAGAGAGGUCACUGUGCAUGGAACUCGAGAAAUGAGGAAACAAGCACUACAACGUGGCUGCGAUCUAGACGAGCCGAGUAAGAAGACUGGUGCCGCCGCGGGACAGACGGGACUUCACCGUCGGCUUCCCCAGAGAGAGGAUACACCACAGCUUCCAAAACCUCGUUGAGCAAAUGGGGCCCAGGUGUGCAAGCGGGAUGCUGGUUCCCUCAGCCCUUCCUGCCAUCCAACCCUCCUCUCUCUAGGCUUUUCACUGCUGAAGGUAUUCUCUCCCUCCUCCCCUAGUGUUUCUCAAUUUUUUUCUAGUAGGAUCCGUAAUUAGAAACGCUAUUCACAUCACAACCCUUACUUAUUUGUAAUGCAUGCUGACAUUUUGCAACCUAUUCUUUCAUCUAAAUUGAAAUUCUAGUUGUGAUCCACUGAAGUGAUUCAUGGCCCACAAGCAUCACAACCUGCAAUUUGAAAAACUCACCACCUUUGACCUUACACUUAAACUUCAAGUACCAACCCAAGAUGUAAAUUUCAAUUAUAUCUUAUACUGACCACUUCUUGCCUUUCUGUCUCAUUUUCUCUUGCCUACUGGCAAAUUAUUUAACGUGUCUCUUUCCUCCUCACCUCUACACCUCCUUCCAUAUGCAGCCCAGGUUUCAUGGGUAGUCAUUAGAAUUACUAGCAAGGAUAGCCUUCAUUUCCUUUCCCCACUCCCAGCCCCUGGACAAAUCAAAAAUGCGCCACCACUUUCUCCAGACUCUGACUAUCUGUGGGUCAAGAACACCCCUGACUGUGCUCCUCUUUUUAACCCAUUCUAAACCAGACUUCUCCCCCCACUCCACAGAAACCCUCUUGUGUCUCCGCAGACUCUAUGCUGAGAAAUCCAGUGGUCAAUUCUCAAUCUUCAGUUUGCCCACUUCUCAGGAGCAUUUGGCCCAGUUGAUAUUUCCUCUUCACAAAAACACAUUCUUCACUUUGCUUCCAGAAUACCACACCCUCCCAGUUUUCCUUCUACUUAAACACAGUUCCUUACUUCCUCAUCUUCCCAACCUCUAAAAUUUGGAGUUCCCCAGGGCUCUGAUGUGAGUCCACAUACGUUCUGUAUGUACACCCGCUGCCUGCCUGAGCUCACCUGAUGACGUGACGGUAAGAACCCUCUGCCCUGAUGCUUCCCAUACUUAGACCUCCAACCCCAUUUCCCACCAAGUGUAGUCAGUGAUGUGACUGAUGUCUCCUCCACUGAAUGUCUAAAAGGCAUGUGCUCACAGAUGCCUUGAUCUGCUCUCCAGCCUACAGAGCUGCUCCUUCUGCAUUUGUCCUCAUCUUGAUAAAAACACAGCAGUAAUUUGUUUUUCUUUUAUUUGUUUAUUUAUCUUGAAAGACAGCAAGUUGGGGGAGGGCAGGGAGAGAGAGAAUCCCAAGCA